CUUUGGGAUAACCCUCGGAAACGGGGGCUAAUACCGAAUGUUCACUCACGGGCGCAUGUUUGUGGGUGGAAAGUUUUUCGGCUUGGGAUGGGCUCGCGGCCUAUCAGCUUGUUGGUGGGGUAAUGGCCUACCAAGGCGGCGACGGGUAGCCGGCCUGAGAGGGCGACCGGCCACACUGGGACUGAGACACGGCCCAGACUCCUACGGGAGGCAGCAGUGGGGAAUAUUGCACAAUGGGCGGAAGCCUGAUGCAGCGACGCCGCGUGAGGGAUGACGGCCUUCGGGUUGUAAACCUCUUUCAGCAGGGACGAAGCGCAAGUGACGGUACCUGCAGAAGAAGCGCCGGCCAACUACGUGCCAGCAGCCGCGGUAAGACGUAGGGCGCGAGCGUUGUCCGGAUUUAUUGGGCGUAAAGAGCUCGUAGGCGGCUUGUCGCGUCGACUGUGAAAACCCGUGGCUCAACUGCGGGCCUGCAGUCGAUACGGGCAGGCUAGAGUUCGGUAGGGGAGACUGGAAUUCCUGGUGUAGCGGUGAAAUGCGCAGAUAUCAGGAGGAACACCGGCGGCGAAGGCGGGUCUCUGGGCCGAUACUGACGCUGAGGAGCGAAAGCGUGGGGAGCGAACAGGAUUAGAUACCCUGGUAGUCCACGCUGUAAACGUUGGGCGC
rnacentral:rRNA from 1 species